rnacentral:rRNA from 1 species
GAUGAACGCUGGCGGCGUGCUUAACACAUGCAAGUCGAACGAUGAAGCCCAGCUUGCUGGGUGGAUUAGUGGCGAACGGGUGAGUAACACGUGAGUAACCUGCCCUUGACUCUGGGAUAAGCCUGGGAAACUGGGUCUAAUACUGGAUAUGACUUCUUAUCGCAUGGUGGGGGGUGGAAAGAUUUAUUGGUCUUGGAUGGACUCGCGGCCUAUCAGCUUGUUGGUGAGGUAAUGGCUCACCAAGGCGACGACGGGUAGCCGGCCUGAGAGGGUGACCGGCCACACUGGGACUGAGACACGGCCCAGACUCCUACGGGAGGCAGCAGUGGGGAAUAUUGCACAAUGGGCGCAAGCCUGAUGCAGCGACGCCGCGUGAGGGAUGACGGCCUUCGGGUUGUAAACCUCUUUCAGUAGGGAAGAAGCGAGAGUGACGGUACCUGCAGAAGAAGCGCCGGCUAACUACGUG